ACACUCCUGCGGGAGGCAGCAGUGGGGAAUUUUGGACAAUGGGCGAAAGCCUGAUCCAGCAAUGCCGCGUGAGUGAAGAAGGCCUUCGGGUUGUAAAGCUCUUUUGUCAGGGAAGAAACGGUGAAAGCUAAUAUCUUUUGCUAAUGACGGUACCUGAAGAAUAAGCACCGGCUAACUACGUGCCAGCAGCCGCGGUAAUACGUAGGGUGCAAGCGUUAAUCGGAAUUACUGGGCGUAAAGCGUGCGCAGGCGGUUUUGUAAGUCUGAUGUGAAAUCCCCGGGCUCAACCUGGGAAUUGCAUUGGAGACUGCAAGGCUAGAAUCUGGCAGAGGGUGGUAGAAUUCCACGUGUAGCAGUGAAAUGCGUAGAUAUGUGGAGGAACACCGAUGGCGAAGGCAGCCCCCUGGGUCAAGAUUGACGCUCAUGCACGAAAGCGUGGGGAGCAAACAGGAUUAGAUACCCGUGUAGUCCCAUGA
rnacentral:rRNA from 1 species